rnacentral:rRNA from 1 species
CUUGCUCUGUGGGAUCAGUGGCGAACGGGUGAGUAACACGUGAGCAACCUGCCCCUGACUCUGGGAUAAGCGCUGGAAACGGCGUCUAAUACUGGAUACGAGUAGCGACCGCAUGGUCAGUUACUGGAAAGAUUUAUUGGUUGGGGAUGGGCUCGCGGCCUAUCAGCUUGUUGGUGAGGUAAUGGCUCACCAAGGCGUCGACGGGUAGCCGGCCUGAGAGGGUGACCGGCCACACUGGGACUGAGACACGGCCCAGACUCCUACGGGAGGCAGCAGUGGGGAAUAUUGCACAAUGGGCGCAAGCCUGAUGCAGCAACGCCGCGUGAGGGAUGACGGCCUUCGGGUUGUAAACCUCUUUUAGCAGGGAAGAAGCGAAAGUGACGGUACCUGCAGAAAAAGCGCCGGCUAACUACGUGCCAGCAGCCGCGGUAAUACGUAGGGCGCAAGCGUUAUCCGGAAUUAUUGGGCGUAAAGAGCUCGUAGGCGGUUUGUCGCGUCUGCUGUGAAAUCCGGAGGCUCAACCUCCGGCCUGCAGUGGGUACGGGCAGACUAGAGUGCGGUAGGGGAGAUUGGAAUUCCUGGUGUAGCGGUGGAAUGCGCAGAUAUCAGGAGGAACACCGAUGGCGAAGGCAGAUCUCUGGGCCGUAACUGACGCUGAGGAGCGAAAGGGUGGGGAGCAAACAGGCUUAGAUACCCUGGUAGUCCACCCCGUAAACGUUGGGAACUAGUUGUGGGGUCCAUUCCACGGAUUCCGUGACGCAGCUAACGCAUUAAGUUCCCCGCCUGGGGAGUACGGCCGCAAGGCUAAAACUCAAAGGAAUUGACGGGGACCCGCACAAGCGGCGGAGCAUGCGGAUUAAUUCGAUGCAACGCGAAGAACCUUACCAAGGCUUGACAUAUACGAGAACGGGCCAGAAAUGGUCAACUCUUUUGGACACUCGUAAACAGG